rnacentral:snRNA from 1 species
AUGCUCGCUUCAGCAGCACAUAUACUAAAAUUGGAAUGGUACAGAGAAGAUUAGUAUGGCCCCUGCACAAGGAUGACAUGCAAAUUCUUGAAAAGGUCCAUAUUUUU